rnacentral:rRNA from 1 species
CCUACGGGAGGCAGCAGUGGGGAAUAUUGCGCAAUGGGCGAAAGCCUGACGCAGCAACGCCGUGUGAGGGAUGAAGGCUUUCGGGUCGUAAACCUCUGUCGGAAGGGAAGAACGGGCAUUGGUCUAAUAGGCCUUUGUUUUGACGGUACCUUUAGAGGAAGCACCGGCUAACUCCGUGCCAGCAGCCGCGGUAAUACGGAGGGUGCAAGCGUUAUUCGGAAUUACUGGGCGUAAAGCGCACGUAGGCGGCUUCGUAAGUCAGGGGUGAAAUCCCACGGCUCAACCGUGGAACUGCCUUUGAAACUGCAAAGCUUGAAUCCUGGAGAGGGUGGCGGAAUUCCUGGUGUAGGAGUGAAAUCCGUAGAUAUCAGGAGGAACACCGGUGGCGAAGGCGGCCACCUGGACAGGUAUUGACGCUGAGGUGCGAAAGUGUGGGGAGCAAACAGGAUUAGAUACCCCAGUAGUC